UCUUGAAAGCUCAUCUCUAAUGAAGUUUUUGCUGGAAAAUUCAAGGUCUGUCAAGCAUUGCUGUUUUCUAAAUGUUUUCUUCUUUCCCUUUUAAUAACUGUGGCUCAUGUUGCCUUUCCCCAGACGUGUCUGUGUUUGCAAAUACCACGGCCGAAUCCCUUUGUGUUGCUCCCAAGGCCAUAUUAAAACUCUCAACUUUCCUUGACAUUAUUUCUCUGUCUGCUCUGGUGUUUCUAGCCUCCUCCAAAUUAGUAUCAACUGAGAACUUAAUGAGCAUGCUGUUUACUUUCUCUUCCAGACCACUAAUGAAGAUGUUAAAUAAGAUGUCUUCUCUUUGUGUGUUACCCGGCGUGUGACCAAUUAAUGAAAUCCAGUGGAUGCUGGUAAAACCAUCACCUUGAUUGUGAAACUUCAGUAAGACCGCCUAUUGGAGUUUUGCAUAGUUGAGGAUAAAAUGAAUAAAAUGUAUCAAGUUAGUUUGGAUUACUUGAAUCGCCUGUUACAUCCACUAGCUCCUGAAAAGCCAAGAUAUGGAUAGGACUAUCUUCAAGAGCUUGUGACUUCACCUGAAGAUGAAACCUCCUUAUGUUUGGGGACUUGGUCCCAGAUGCAAAACACCAACACGCAUCAAGCCCAUCCCAUGACUCCAAAAACAAGCUUCCCGGCAUUCUUCUCAAUGAUGGGUGCUGUUCUUUCUGCUGUGUAAGGCCAGAGAGCCCUAAAUCUGAGGAUCCAUCACUCUUCUCUAUGAUACACUGCUGUUUCUCUCUCUACUCAUGAAGUCUUGCAGUGCAGUUGGAGUGUCCACCUUGUUUAUGGCUGUUGAUACCUAAAUUUGCCACCUCUGACAAUUAAAGCAGUU